rnacentral:rRNA from 1 species
CCCUUAGAUGUUCUGGGCCGCACGCGUGCUACACUGAGCGGGCCAACGGGUGAGGAUGUGCGAAAGCGCUUCCCAAUCUCUAAAUCCGCUCGUGCUGGGGAUCGAGGCUUGCAAUUAUCCCUCUUGAACGAGGAAUACCUUGUAAGCACGGGUCAUCAUCCCGUGCUGAAUACGUCCCUGCCCUUUGUACACACCGCCCGUCGCACCUACCGAUUGAAUGGUCCGGUGAAAUCUCGGGACGGCGGCUUGGUCGCUUGCGUCCGACUGCUGAAACUUGAUUAAACCAUAUCAUUUAGAGGAAGGUGAAGUCGUAACA